rnacentral:rRNA from 1 species
UACGUAGGGUGCGAGCGUUUAAUCGGAAUUACUGGGCGUAAAGCGUGCGCAGGCGGUUUUGUAAGUCUGUCGUGAAAUCCCCGGGCUCAACCUGGGAAUUGCGAUGGAGACUGCAAGGCUAGAAUCUGGCAGAGGGGGGUAGAAUUCCACGUGUGAGCAGUGAAAUGCGUAGAGAGUAGUGGAGGAACACCGAUGGCGAAGGCAGCCCCCCUGG